UACGAAGGGGGCGAGCGUUGUUCGGAAUUACUGGGCGUAAAGGGCGCGUAGGCGGCGACCCAAGUCAGAUGUGAAAGUCCUGGGCUUAACCUGGGGACUGCAUUUGAUACGUGGGUUGCUUGGAAUUCGGGAGAGGGAUAGGCGGAAUUCCCAGUGUAGAGGUGAAAUUCGUAGAUAUUGGGAAGAACACCGGUGGCGAAGGCGGCUAUCUGGACCGACAUGACGCUGACGGCGCGAAAGCGUGGGGAGCAAACAGGG
rnacentral:rRNA from 1 species